AAUGCUGCUUAUAACCUUGGUGUCGCAGAUGCUAUAAAAUCACAGAGGAAUCCGAAAUGCCACUUUUCUAAUCCAUAUUACUUUGCAAACCGACCAGCAAGUGCUGCUAUUGUCACUGAAAAGAAAAAUGAGUAUACUAAGAACCUUCUCAAACAAAUAGAUGCCAAUAGUAAACUGGCCAAGAAAAAGAAAGAAAAUCAGAAAGUCUUGGAGCAACUAGAACGGCUGCAACUCAAACAAGAGUGAGUUUUGGUGGACUUGCAGGGGGACUCCAGUAGGGAAGGGUAGGGCAGCACAACUAGUGCUGCAGCACAUGUCAGCCAGCCAACCAGGAUCCCCAUGCAGCCCAUCAUCGCCACCAUGCUUAGUGUCAGGACAGCCUUGGAGGCCAGCUCAGCCUGGGAUGAACAUUUCUCUCAAUUCCCAGUCCUGAGGAAAGAGAGUGUUUGGUUGCACUUGGCCUGAGGCUGAGCAUUUGAGUCAGGGAGGAGGUCAGGAGAGCAGUGAGGGAAACUGCUGUGGGGAAGACUCCCCCAAA